rnacentral:ncRNA from 1 species
CUCUCAUAGUCAAUGGCUAUAACCUCAUGGGGUUAUAGAUAGCACAGAGAGAACAAAGGGGCUCAUUCCCCUGCUGAAAAAGCAAAAUAUUGAAUUGCUAUAGAAGCAUCGAGUAAGUAAUGAAAGAUGCUACAUAUAG